rnacentral:rRNA from 1 species
AGAAUGAACGCUGGCGGCGUGCCUAACACAUGCAAGUCGAGCGAGAAAGUUCCUUCGGGAAUUAGUACAGCGGCGGACGGGUGAGUAACACGUGAGUUAUCUGCCCUUUAGUGAAGGAUACCCUCGAGAAAUCGAGGUUAAUACUGCAUACGUCCCUUCGGGGAGAAAGGUGGCUUUAUGCUAUCGCUAAAGGAUGAGCUUGCGGACUAUUAGCUAGUUGGUAGGGUAAAGGCCUACCAAGGCUUUGAUGGUUAGCCGGCCUGAGAGGGUGAUCGGCCACAUUGGAACUGAGAUACGGUCCAGACUCCUACGGGAGGCAGCAGUGGGGAAUAUUGCGCAAUGGGCGAAAGCCUGACGCAGCGACGCCGCGUGGAGGAUGAAGGUCUUCGGAUUGUAAACUCCUGUUGGGUGGGAAGAAAGUUUGUACCUAAUACGGAUGAAAAUGACGGUACCACCAAAGAAAGACACUGGACUAACCGUCGUGCCAGCAGCCGCGGU